rnacentral:tRNA from 1 species
AGUAAUAUAGUUUAUUGAAAAUGUUUGUUUUACACACAAGAGAACUUAUUUUUAGGUUUUACUAUUU